GUGGCGGCACGCACUUGUAGUCCCAGCUACUCGGGAGGCUGAGGCAGGAGAAGUCGCUUGAACCCAGGAGGCAGAGGUUGCAGUGAGCCGAGAUAGUGCCACUGCACUCCAGCCUGGUGACCGAGCAAGACUUGGUCUCAAAAAAAAAAAAAAAAGAAAAUACAAAGUUGAAAGUUGACAAUCAAUGCAAGGUAAUACAGGUGGCAUUUUAAGUAGGGUGGUCAUGGUGGGCCUCAUGAAGGUGCCAUUUGAACAGACUUGAAGAGGAGAGAAACUGAGCCAUGCAGAUAUGUGCAAAGGAAGAACCUUCCAGAAUCACCCUCAUGUACCCCUAUGCUCUGUACAUACCCAGCGCUUUGCACUGAGGCAGACCCUAAAGCUGCAGUGGGAAUGGAGGUGGAUACACUUAUGGAAAGAAAGACUUCUUCAAAGAAUGGUGGCGACCCAGGUCUCCCCUUCCUGCUGUGGCUCUUAGAGGACCUGGAGUUGGAGAGGGGAAGUCACUGGCAUGUGGAGGAAGACUAGGAGAGGAGGGGGAGGUCACAGUGUGUCCCACCUUCACUCCACCUCUCUGCUCUCUCUCUCCUAUAUCGAGUGCCUCCCUCCCCAGAGUUGUGGUCACUGAUAAGGAGGACCCUGAGGGCAACCAUACCUUGCCAUGCAGAGCGGCUGGCUUCUCACCUGCCAACCUCACUCUGACCUGGCUGCAGGAAGGGAAGGAGCCAACUCUGGACUCAAGAUUCAAGGGGACCAGACCCAGAGAGAUGAGACAUACCAGGGCUGGGCAGUUGUGGGGGUCCUUCCAGAGAGGAGCUGAGAUACACCUACCUGGAGGGGCCCCAGGGCCUGGAGGGGCUCCUCAGUGUAACUGGGUGAGGUGUUUUCAGAGGACCAGGGUUGAGGGUGGGGGCAUCUCAUCCAGACCCUGCCCCCCUCUCUGCCCCAGGACCCAAGGCCCCCCCUCCCUCCCUCCUCAAUGGAGAUGCUGGGGAUGUCCUUAGUCACCCUCUGAGUACUCACAUAUCAUCCCUUAUUUGGAAGUUUUUCUUGUUCUAACCUCCUUCCUUCCUGCUGCACCUUCUGCCCCAGCCCCAGGCUCUGGCCUCUCUCUCUCCUUUUCUACCGUCUAGCCGGUAAUGACUCUUUUCCCACUGAGGAGGCAGCUCUAGGGAGCUGUCCUUCCUCCAGGCCCAGGGAAGUGAAAAAAGAAGCAGGAACAGUGAAAUACGCCACAGGAAAGAAAAAUCUUAGUGAUCCCUCCUGCUGUCUCUCUCCUUUUGUCUAUUCUGGCAAAUUUUGUAAGUGAAAUUUGUUACCAAGAUGUGAAAAUCUUAUUAUAAGAAAGUCUCUAAAUAUUUGAGAAUAAAAUUAUCAAUGUCUCAGCUCUGCAGACUGAAAAAACAAUCUUUACAAAAUAAAAUCAUGUUUGGAAAACUUCUCCUCUGAGGGGUAUCAAAGGCUUCACUGAAUAAGCUCUAAGGAGGUGCUGAAAUGACAGCCAUUUAUUUGCCUGUGUAAGCUCAGGCAGGUGUUGGAAUUGAGGAAGGAUAGGUAAUGAAAAAAGUAACCAUGUGCUUGGGGCACAGUGACAGUGAUGACCACAGAAUCAACACAAUAAGCUCUAGCAUUUGCAUUGUAGUCCAGUUCAUUCAAGCAAAGCUAUCUCCAAUAGGGAAUUUACCCUGACAGAACAUGUGCAUUUUGAUUUCACCUUUUCUGACUGACCCUUUGCUCAUGACAAUAGUGAAAAAAUACAGCCCUGGGUGGAGAUUUAAGAUACUAAUGAGUCGUGAGAUGUAUGAACAUGCAUGUACAGCUACUGCACAUGUGCACCCAGAAGACCACCCAGAACAUGCUUACUAGUAACCCCUCUUCCCACCCACCUCCUAUGAAUAACCAUGUAAGACUCCCAUAAAGGGAGUUUCUCUAGCAAUAAUCAAUGCUGUCUCAUCCAUAGGCGCAGCCCGCCCUGAAUCCUCUCUCUCAGGGUAUACAGUUUAUUUUGCACUUAACUUUCAAAAUAGUAUUUUUCCUUUGUAAUAAAUUGCUUUGUACUUCUCCUUUGCUGCAUGUUUCUUGUUUAAAUUCUUUUAAAUGAAGAAGUCACGAACCAAAGUAUUACAACAGCCAUCAACAUUUCUGGUGCCAUGACUCAGACAGAGGUUUGUCUGCUUCAUUGGUUUCAGUUCCCCUUCACUCCUGAGGUGGGGUGCCACUGCAUUGCCCAGCUUGGUCUCAAAAUCCUGGCCUUAAGUGAUCUUCUUGCCUCAGCCUCCUGAGUAGCUGGAUUACAUGUGGGAGCCACCACACCUGGCUGCAGUGUUAUUCUCAA